AUUGAACGCUGGCGGCAGGCUUAACACAUGCAAGUCGAACGAGUGGCGGACGGGUGAGUAAUGCCUGGGAAACUGGCUUAUGGAGGGGGAUAACGACGGGAAACUGUAGCUAAUACCGCGUACCAUCGGAUGAGCCCAAGUGGGAUUAGUUAGUUGGUGGGGUAAUGGCUUACCAAGGCGACGAUCUCUAGCUGGUCUGAGAGGAUGACCAGCGACACCGGGACUGAGACGCUGUCCGGACUCCUACGGGAGGCAGCAGUGGGGAAUAUUGCGCAAUGGGCACAAGCCUGAUGCAGCCAUGCCGCGUGAAUGAAGAAGGCCUUCGGGUUGUAAAGUACUUUCAGUGAGGAGGCGUUAAUCGCAGAAGAAGCACCGGCUAACUCCGUGCCAGCAGCCGCGGUAAUAC
rnacentral:rRNA from 1 species